rnacentral:rRNA from 1 species
GAUGAACGCUAGCGGCAGGCUUAUCACAUGCAAGUCGAGGGGCAGCAUAAUGGAUAGCAAUAUCUAUGGUGGCGACCGGCGCACGGGUGCGUAACGCGUAUGCAACCUACCUUUAACAGGGGGAUAACACUGAGAAAUUGGUACUAAUACCCCAUAAUAUCAUAGAAGGCAUCUUUUAUGGUUGAAAAUUCCGAUGGUUAGAGAUGGGCAUGCGUUGUAUUAGCUAGUUGGUGGGGUAACGGCUCACCAAGGCGACGAUACAUAGGGGGACUGAGAGGUUAACCCCCCACACUGGUACUGAGACACGGACCAGACUCCUACGGGAGGCAGCAGUGAGGAAUAUUGGUCAAUGGACGCAAGUCUGAACCAGCCAUGCCGCGUGCAGGAUGACGGCUCUAUGAGUUGUAAACUGCUUUUGUACGAGGGUAAACGCAGAUACGUGUAUCUGUCUGAGAGUAUCGUACGAAUAAGGAUCGGCUAACUCCGUGCCAGCAGCCGCGGUAAUACGGAGGAUUCAAGCGUUAUCCGGAUUUAUUGGGUUUAAAGGGUGCGUAGGCGGUUUGAUAAGUUAGAGGUGAAAUUUCGGGGCUCAACCCUGAACGUGCCUCUAAUACUGUUGAGCUAGAGAGUAGUUGCGGUAGGCGGAAUGUAUGGUGUAGCGGUGAAAUGCUUAGAGAUCAUACAGAACACCGAUUGCGAAGGCAGCUUACCAAACUAUAUCUGACGUUGAGGCACGAAAGCGUGGGGAGCAAACGGGAUUAGAUACCCUGGUAGUCCACGCAGUAAAACGAUGAAAUAACUCGUUGUCGGCGAUACACAGUCGGUGACUAAGCGAAAGCGAUAAGUUAUCCACCUGGGGAGUACGUUCGCAAGAAGAAACUCAAAGAAAUUGACGGGGGCCCGCACAAGCGGAGGAACAUGUGGUUUAAUUCGAUGAUACGCGAGGAACCUUACCCGGGCUUGAAAGUAAGCGACGAUUCUUGAAAGAGGAUUUCCCUUCGGGGCGCGAAACUAGGUGCUGCAUGGUUGUCGUCAAGCUCGUGCCGUGAGGUGUCGGGUUAAAGUCCCAUAACGAGCGCGAACCCCUACCGUUAGUUGUCAUCUAGGUCUAAGCUGGGCACUCUGGCGGGACU